GGCGGUAGGCUAGGCCUGUACACCAAGCAUGUUUUGUCAGUUGACAGAGUUUGAAGGUUCUACCAAGGAUGUCAACUGUGGAGCACAUACAGGAUGCAGAGCACACUGAUGACGUAUCACCAUGGCAACGCGUACCGCUCAACAUCACUUGAAUGAGAUUGUACCUGACACUGUUAAUUGUAAAGAGCGCCACCUGUUGUUUGGUUAUCGAUCAACAUUAUGCAGCAGAUAAUGCAGCGGUAGGCUAUAUAGGCCUGUACGUCAGAGUUACUUCUACAAGGACGAUAGGUUCAACUACAACUAUGCGCAGGCCAAAGCCACAGCAGGCAACUACAAGGAAGCAGAGGAGAUUUUUGUGCUCAUUCAGAGUGAGAAGAUCAAGAAUGACU